rnacentral:ncRNA from 1 species
CUGGUUGAUCCUGCCAGUAGUCAUAUGCUUGUCUCAAAGAUUAAGCCAUGCAUGUCUAAGUAUAAGCACUUGUACUGUGAAACUGCGAAUGGCUCAUUAAAUCAGUUAUCGUUUAUUUGAUUGUACCUUUACUACUUGGAUAACCGUGGUAAUUCUAGAGCUAAUACAUGCGAAAAGUCCCGACUUCUGGAAGAUGCAAAAAAAAAAAAUCCUUCAAACGGGAAACCAACAGCUCAUACUGGCUAGACAGGUUUCCUUAAAAUAAUAAUGAAGGGAUUAGAGCUAAAACAACCUUGAAUUACAAAGUAUUUUUAAGGAUUAAUAUAAAAUACCUUCAAAUAUCUUUCUUCUAACAAAAGACGUCGUCGGCUUCUCCUGCUACAAAAAAAUAGGUAGAGACAAUUGCUCGAGGAUCGAACCUCCUCAGAUCAAAUGAAACGAGAGAAAAAAUAGACCGUACUUCCAGACAUACGGUGAAACACCGUAUGGCACCUAAAGCUUUACGGCUAGGCUGAAGAUUUCGGAACCAGCACCGCUAUCUAGCGAACUGUACAACACAAAGGAACCUGAGGCACCCGCGCAUUAAUAGGAUAGUCGACAGUAUUUUUU